rnacentral:ribozyme from 1 species
GGGUUCAGUUCUCUGUGGCAGCGAACACGGUCGUCAAGCUGCUCAAGGGCGU